UAAAUUUAGGGAAGGCAUUAGCAGGACGUGCAGCAGAUCUACCACGUUGUAGCUUAGGUGGCACCUUCAUAACACAGGUACGUAGCCCCCACCUCCCGAUACUCUUAUCAAAUUCAGUCGAAAUGACUGUGCCAUGUGGCAAAGUAAAGUCCUCUUUAUAAGUUAUUUCAAUCUAAAAAAUCACAAUCAUGUGGGAUAUAUGAUUGACAUGGGACCCAAGGUUCAAUAUGAGACCAAUUCGAGGGAAACACUAUCCAUCUGAAGGUCUUGAUUGACCACAUCAUCACUGCAUGUGGCUCAGAUUGAGCCAGCCAUCCUGCUAAGCUUACAAAGAUUGUGGUCCUUUAUUUUGUGGGAAAAUUACACUGA